GUUACUGCGAAGGGGGGACGGAGAAGGCUAUGUUGGCCGGGCGACGGUUGUCCCGGUUUAAGCGUGUAGGUGUGUGUUCCAGGUAAAUCCGGUUCACUUUAACACUGAGGCGUGACGACGAGGCACUACGGUGCUGAAGCAACAAAUGCCCUGCUUCCAGGAAAAGCCUCUAAGCAUCAGGUAACAUCAAAUCGUACCCCAAACCGACACAGGUGGUCAGGUAGAGAAUACCAAGGCGCUUGAGAGAACUCGGGUGAAGGAACUAGGCAAAAUGGUGCCGUAACUUCGGGAGAAGGCACGCUGACACGUAGGUGAAGUGAUUUACUCAUGGAGCUGAAGUCAGUCGAAGAUACCAGCUGGCUGCAACUGUUUAUUAAAAACACAGCACUGUGCAAACACGAAAGUGGACGUAUACGGUGUGACGCCUGCCCGGUGCCGGAAGGUUAAUUGAUGGGGUCAGCGCAAGCGAAGCUCCUGAUCGAAGCCCCGGUAAACGGCGGCCGUAACUAUAACGGUCCUAAGGUAGCGAAAUUCCUUGUCGGGUAAGUUCCGACCUGCACGAAUGGCGUAAUGAUGGCCAGGCUGUCUCCACCCGAGACUCAGUGAAAUUGAACUCGCUGUGAAGAUGCAGUGUACCCGCGGCAAGACGGAAAGACCCCGUGAACCUUUACUAUAGCUUGACACUGAACAUUGAGCCUUGAUGUGUAGGAUAGGUGGGAGGCUUUGAAGUGUGGACGCCAGUCUGCAUGGAGCCGACCUUGAAAUACCACCCUUUAAUGUUUGAUGUUCUAACGUGGACCCGUAAUCCGGGUUGCGGACAGUGUCUGGUGGGUAGUUUGACUGGGGCGGUCUCCUCCUAAAGAGUAACGGAGGAGCACGAAGGUUGGCUAAUCCUGGUCGGACAUCAGGAGGUUAGUGCAAUGGCAUAAGCCAGCUUGACUGCGAGCGUGACGGCGCGAGCAGGUGCGAAAGCAGGUCAUAGUGAUCCGGUGGUUCUGAAUGGAAGGGCCAUCGCUCAACGGAUAAAAGGUACUCCGGGGAUAACAGGCUGAUACCGCCCAAGAGUUCAUAUCGACGGCGGUGUUUGGCACCUCGAUGUCGGCUCAUCACAUCCUGGGGCUGAAGUAGGUCCCAAGGGUAUGGCUGUUCGCCAUUUAAAGUGGUACGCGAGCUGGGUUUAGAACGUCGUGAGACAGUUCGGUCCCUAUCUGCCGUGGGCGCUGGAGAACUGAGGGGGGCUGCUCCUAGUACGAGAGGACCGGAGUGGACGCAUCACUGGUGUUCGGGUUGUCAUGCCAAUGGCACUGCCCGGUAGCUAAAUGCGGAAGAGAUAAGUGCUGAAAGCAUCUAAGCACGAAACUUGCCCCGA
rnacentral:rRNA from 1 species